CCGGUUCUCACUGCGAGACCAGCACGCGGGAGCCGUGGCUCGCAACCCCUGGAGUUGUAGGCCCAGGCGUUUCAGCCUCCGCAGCUCAGCUGUGGGAAGGAAGGGGCACAGCGUGGAGGGCGGACUGGCCGGUGUCCUCGCGGCCAGGUCGAGCUGGGGCCCCGGGAGGAGGCGGGAAGCCCGACUGCUCGCCGCCUCUCGCUGCCCAGGGUCGAUGCCAGGCUCUGGCCCGGGGGCCCGCAGCUCCCAGCCUUUCUCGGCCACGACUGCAGGUCCCUGGGCCAUGGCUGGAUACGCAGAAGUUCACAGGAGCAGGUGGAGUUGGGGCAGUUGGCCCAAGAGUGACCACAUCAGUACAGAGAAGAAGUAACUACUUCCCCAGAUUUGCAGCCACAUGACAUGUGAAGCUGGGGCUGGCACGCAAGCGUGUUCUCCUGCCACCCCGGGCCUCCCUGUCUGCAGUGGGUGGGUAACGGCCCCCACCGACAUCCCGCGUUGAUCCCUGGCCUUGGAAAUGUUAUCUUAUGUGGCGAAGAAUUUGCAGUGAGAUUAAGAUAAGGAUUUGAAGGUGCAUCAUUAAAAUCAAGAUGCCUCCACCACAGUGUCUCCAAGAAUAAACUGGAUGAGAGAUCUGGUGGGGACCAUCACUAAAGGACAAAUGAUAGCAAACUCCCAGCUAUUAGGCCAUCCAUCACUGCAAGGGUGAUUCGUGUCUUCUUCUGAAGCAGUCGGGGAUUUGAACGCCGCUUUUACUAAAAAUCAACAACAGCAACAAACAGUGGCCUCCACUGGGCCUGCAGCUGUCCAGAGGAGCUGCACACAAGGAGGACUCCAAAGCAAGAUACUGAGAGAUUCACCACCAGCGCCAGCCCCUGGAGCAGAGGCCUAAACAUCUCCAGUCUUUGCCUGAACCUGCUGUCACCAUGGAUUCCAGCAGAGCCUCCUCAGAGUGGAGACAGCCCCGGAAGACACAGCCACCUCACAGAGACCAAGCUGUCCCCACAGUGAGAAGGAUUUCACUGGAGCUGCAAACCAGACCGAGGCAGUGAUCAGCAGGCCCUGGCCUGCUCAGCACCCCUCUGUGGCGGGCUGCUCCUCUUCGGACAGGCCAGCCUGGCUUCCUUUGUCAGGAGCUGAAGUCCUCCCUCUGUUUGCUCUCACUCUCCUUUGUCAAGGGACCAUCUCAUCCUUGACUUUUCUCCCCCUCAAGCCAAAGUCCCUUCUUAUUCUCUGUAACUUUCCAAUUAAAGCUUGGCUGUAAAUCCCUGGUGUUGCCUCAGUGUUAAUUUCCAUGCUCACUGAAGGAGGACCCACACUAGCCAGCGACCUC
rnacentral:lncRNA from 1 species